AUCAUCAAAGCUUGCUUUGAUGGAUGGCGACCGGCGCACGGGUGAGUAACACGUAUCCAACUUGCCGACAACACUGGGAUAGCCUUUCGAAAGAAAGAUUAAUACCGGAUGGCAUAAUUUUCCCGCAUGGGAUAAUUAUUAAAGAAUUUCGGUUGUCGAUGGGGAUGCGUUCCAUUAGGCAGUUGGCGGGGUAACGGCCCACCAAACCAACGAUGGAUAGGGGUUCUGAGAGGAAGGUCCCCCACAUUGGAACUGAGACACGGUCCAAACUCCUACGGGAGGCAGCAGUGAGGAAUAUUGGUCAAUGGACGAGAGUCUGAACCAGCCAAGUAGCGUGAAGGAUGACUGCCCUAUGGGUUGUAAACUUCUUUUAUACGGGAAUAAAGUUAGCCACGUGUGGCUUUUUGUAUGUACCGUAUGAAUAAGGAUCGGCUAACUCCGUGCCAGCAGCCGCGGUAAUACGGAGGAUCCGAGCGUUAUCCGGAUUUAUUGGGUUUAAAGGGAGCGUAGGCGGGUUGUUAAGUCAGUUGUGAAAGUUUGCGGCUCAACCGUAAAAUUGCAGUUGAUACUGGCGACCUUGAGUGCAACAGAGGUAGGCGGAAUUCGUGGUGUAGCGGUGAAAUGCUUAGAUAUCACGAAGAACUCCGAUG
rnacentral:rRNA from 1 species